UCGCCUCAACGAAUCAGUCUUGUGAAUAUUCGCGAACUAUGCGGUCGCCAUACGAUGAUUUCUCCGUCGUGUCGGACAGUGGUGAAGAGGCUAGAGCCACCAGGUACAACUACAGCAACACCAACAAUAGUGCCAUACCAUAUCACGCGCGUGAAAAUUCGUUGCCAUUUAGUUACGGCCAAAUAAAUAAGUCAUCGACGCCAUUGCGCAGUACAAGUGUUGGCACUGGAACUGGUGGACUCUAUCGUAGUCAACAUGGCGUUGGUGAUGGUUCUAGCGGUGCUCUCGAUUUCGGUUUCGGUUCAAGUUCAUCGCCGUCGAAAGCGGAUGUGAAUUUCAAUUUAGGCACUGAUCAUUAUUACGGUACUAAUUACAAAAGUGCAAACAACAACGGAUUAACAGCUACAUUAAAAUCAACAACAGCAAAUACAAAAGCAUCGGCAUCGGGAAGUAGCGCGGACACGGCAAAUCCUAUUAAAGCGCAACCACGUCUCACCAGUCCAAUAUUGGUGCGCAAAACGCUCAACAGCCGAUCACCUACGCGCAACGGAGCCACCAAUACGAACACAAUUUCCAACACAUACCACUACAAAUAUGGAAGCGACAAUGGCAGCGCUUUCAACGCUACCGCCGGCAGCAGCAGCGGCCACGGCAACACUUUAAAUGGCAACAUCGGCGGCUACAACAACGGCUACGGUAGCACCAGGAGAUAUAACAACAACGACUACAUGUAUGGCAGCAACAGUAGCAACAAUUUUGAUGUUGGCGAUGCUAUCGACGGCAGCAUCCACGUUCGCAAAACUCAGCCACGCGAUGAUUUUGAGGAGCUAUUGCGCGAGCGUCGUGAAAAGGUGUUACGGGAGCAUUACCGAUCGGCCGGAUCAACACCAAUGUCUAAUGGUGGCGGCGGUAGCUUGGGCACCUCACCAAAUUCGCGUAAAUUCAACUAUGAUUUCGAGAUAAAUUUAAAUUUGGAUGAUGCGCCAGCGCCCCCACGUCGCGCUCACACCAUAGAUCGAACGUCAUUGCAACAGCUGCAGCAAUAUCGCACUCGGGAUAUUCCAGUUAUGCGCGAGGCCGCCACACCAACGGCCAAUGCAACAUAUGUGGAACGUAAUUAUCACACAAUUAGCUCCUCGAAUGCCAGUCGAGAGGCAGGCGGCUCGUUCGCAGCUGCUCAGCAACAAUCGCGAACACAGCAGCAGCGGCAGCAACCGCAAGAACCGCAGCAACAGCAAUUCGAAUCGCUUUACAGUACGGUGGAGCGGCGUGUAGUGAAACCGUCGCAGAGGCAAUAUUCGCCAUCAUUGUCUCCAACGCAACUGCAGCAACAGCGGCGGCCUGAGUAUGCCGCAUAUGGCAAUGGAAAUGCGCCUGGUUAUGGCUUUGACAGCGGCAACGAGUAUGCAACAAAUAAUCGUAGCUCAUUGGGGGCCGCCGUUGUUGCACGCAGCCGUAACGACUUGUCAUCGCCCAUUUAUGCCACGACGAGUAAGCAAGUCACCACAGCUACGAGCACAUAUCAAAGCCGCAAUACAAUCGAACCAGAAUUGUCAAUUACGGAUCACCCGAUGGCGUCGUCAUUGUCGUUGCCAGUUAGCCCAGCGUUAACUGCGACUGCGGCCACGAAUGCGGUUGGGGCUGGUAAGAUUUCACCUUCGCCAUUACAUGUCGCACGUCCCGAAACGCCCGCGUUUCCCGUUACGCCACGCACGCCACAUGGUGCAUACAAUGGCCAAAACAGCCCCAUGGGCUAUUCGCACAGCCCAGUACCGCAGCGUCCCGACUUGCCAAAUGGAAAAUCAAUGCUCGACUUGCACAACUACUCCUCGGAGACCAUUUACCGGACGAGUUGUCGUCCACGUCUUGACUCCAACAUGUCACUGGUGAAUAGUGAACCACAGGAGGUUGCUGCACAUCUGGUCAAAUUUGCCAAAGACUCGUCCAAAUACUGGUACAAGCCGAAUUUGUCACGCGAAGAAGCCGUACAAUUGCUGCUGCACGCUGAACCAGGCACAUUUAUUGUGCGCAACUCAACCACGUAUAAGGACAACUAUGGUUUGGUAGUGCGUGUACAUCAACCACCCCCAAACAGCGAACUUACCGGUCAACCCGACGAUUUGGUACGUCACUUCCUUAUAGAGCCCACGAAACACGGCGUCCGCUUGAAGAGCUGCGCCAAUGAACCAGUUUUCACAUCACUUUCGGCACUCAUUUACGAGCAUUCAAUCAACAAAUUGGCCUUGCCGUGUUUGCUACGUAUACCUGAUCACGAUUUGGUACCAUCGUUAAUUGAGCCGACAAGUGCGCAAAAACAGCUACUGAUGCAAGGUGCCGCCUGCAAUGUACUGUGGCUCUACUCAUGUGACACCGAAUCUCUGACUGGCGAAGAGGCCAUCCGUAAAGCCAUACGUCAGCUGUACGCCCAACAACCGUUACCCAUACCAACAGAGGUGCACUUCAAGGUGACUCAACAAGGAAUUACACUCACCGACAAUACGCGAAAGAAGUUUUUCCGGAAACACUAUCCCGGCGAAAGCAUCUCGUUUUGUGCCAUAGAUCCAGAUCAUCGUCUCUGGGCCAUUCAGUUGACGGAGGAGGACGGCAGUGUCAAGAAUACCACCGCUGUUGGAGCGCUCAAGAAAACCAUAUUUGCUUUUGUGGCGCGCAAUUCACCAAAAUCGAAAGAUAAUCAAUGCCAUGUUUUUUGUGAUAUGGAUAUUCAUCAACCAGCUUCGGCUAUCGUGUCGUUCGUCAAUAAAACUCUACCAACGGAGAAGGAACGUAAUUUUGUGCUCUGAGGGUGGGCGAAUGCGAAGAAGAGGACACUCUUGGAUAAUGGACAACAAUGUUGCUUUCAUGGCUAGUCUUCUAAACAAUGAUAGGCACUGAAUAUGUGAGCAUUUUCAGCAAAAGUCUUUCAAAUGAAUCUCAGUUUGUUUAUGUUUUUGGUUGUGCUUAAUUUAUAUGCCAAAUAAGAAUCCGUCUUAAAAUAGUCUAACGACCAAGCAGAAGAAAAACACAACACUCAUUGAUGCUUUUGAUGCUUCGGCGUACCGAGCUGGACGAAUGUGUGCUUCUGUCCAAGCACCUACACACCAAUCAAUCCAUCAAUAAAUAAGGAAAAAUAUAUAUUGCAAUUGUCCGCACAUGCACACACACACAUUUUAUGAAAUAGUACCCAAUUGUACCUGUAGAAGACUACUUAAGCACCAGAUAUAUGCGACGACAUUUGUAUACAGACCGAUACGAGAGCACUUGCCACCAAUCAGUCACAGAAAGGCGCUGCACGCGGUCAUCUACGCACAAGUCAUCCCCAAUCAUCCUCGAAUUUAUCGGAGUUCAUGCAAAACUAAUCGUAAUCGUAACCUUUAUUCCCAUAGAGCCGCAGCUAAAUAUUUUGUUUACACUGAUAUUGCAUAGCGUAAUGCAUAUGUAUGUAUGUUUAAUUGCCGUAUUUGUUAUUUGAUUUUGUUGUAUGUAUAUUAAUUGUAUAUAGGCAUUAAGUUUUCAUUCUAAUUUUUAUAAUCAUUGUAGUGGCUUAACUAAUUUAAUAAUAAACGAACUAAAGAAAAACGAAAACAAAUGUUGACAAUAUUAACAACAACAACAUGCAUAUGUGUACCAGGCAUGUAUGUGCAUACAUACAUAUACAAUAACAACAUCCGUUCACAUCUGUAAUAUAGGAACGCAAGUAGUCCAUGUUUUCAGCCAUACGCCAUACGCCACACAUUCAUCCAUAGAACGCUCAGUAUACUUGUCUACAUUUAAAUUUAAAUUAAAGGUGCCAUACCAUAACGCCAUAACCUUAAGCGUGGUUUUAGCCAUAACAAUAUUUAUAAUACGUUCACAUAUGCAUUAAUCACCUAUAAAUCCACCAAAUUAAUCAACACGUUCACAUAUGGCAGAUUACCUGAAAAAUCUACAAUCAGCUGUCAAUACUACUGUGAGAGGUUUUUCUUCAUAGACAUUAUUUUUGUGGAAUAUUUCGGUGUUUUUGGUUUCUUUAAUUAUUAUUAACAAUAUGAAGAAAAUACAAGGAGAAGGAAUAGAUAAUUUAACUGCACAAUUGGCUGCUAAUAAUAAAGAAUUGGAGGAAAUCCGUAUGCGACGUUUACUGAGGUUGCAAAACAUUAUGGCAGUAACAUGCAUUCGAAGUUCGCAUUUACAUUUUAUAACCACCAAUACAUACCUACAUGCUUGAAAGUAUAAAGAAAUACAUGGAAGCGGCAAACAAAAUCGGCAAGCUUUGACAACAACUAAACUACGACGGCGAAAUAAAUAUAGACCGCAAUGAAAUGAGCUAAUCAACCAGAUAUAAAAUAUAGAUACAUAUGUAUGGUAUACAAGCACAUGCACACAUACGUAUAUAUGUAUGUAUGUAUAUCAAAUGCAAAAUACGUACAAAUAGAAUUAUCAAAAAUUAUGAAAGUAAAAUAUGCUUACACACAUAGCACAUACAUACACUAUAUUUAUGACGUAUGCAGUGUAAGAUGAUGACUAUCAAAAGCACGAAAUAAUAUCUAAUAAUAAAAAAACUCGAAAUCACUCAUACGACAUGUUGGGACCGCACAAAUGAGCGAUCGAUGUUUAAAUGUUUCUUAAUUUACAGCUGCUAACUUUACUUCGUUCGAGACAAUAAAUGACAAAUAGCAUCAGGAAGGGAUCAAUAUUGAAAAGAAAUAUAUUUUAUUUUCACUCCGAUACAUGCAAUAAUUGAAAUUAUUGCUUUUUAACGCAAAUUUAUUAAAAUAAAAGCGUGCUUUUGCAAAAAAAGUUGAUAAUAUUUUAUUAUAACUAAUUUGAGAUGAGCACAUAAAAGAUGGUGGGCCUCCCUUUCCUAACUAUUUAAAAUUAAAAAAAAAUUCUUAAAGAUGGUUGUAAGUAAUUUCCUAUAUCCAGCUGAAAGCCUCCGUUGCUAGCGCUAUUGUUAUUUAAACUUCUAAAAAAUAAAAAAUAAAAAUAAAAUAAAAUGAAAUAAAAUAAAAUGAAAUAAGAUAAAAUAAAAUAAAAUAAAAU